ACCAUUUUCAAAUAUGGGCUUAUAAAACUUUGGACAACUGGACAAGAGGAAAAAGGAAUGCGAAUGGCGUUUCAUUUCAUGGGGCAAAUCAAAUCGAAUGAUUAUGUUACAUGCACACAUUGAUUAACGGGAGUUGCGAAAGAAAAACGAGACAUAGUUUACAAGAAGGGACACACCACGUGGAAUUGUGAUGUUACAAAGUCAAAACACCGAUUCAAAGGAGAGGACAACAAUCGCAGAACAUCACAUGAGGCAUCCACCAUGUGUUUCUUUAUUAUUGUUUUAGCCCUCUGGGUUUCGGACAAAUGUUGUGUCUUGAAUCUGACACACACACACACACACACACAUAUAUAUAUAUAUAUGUAUAUAUUCGCACGAAUCACGAUAAAUGUGAAAUAUUUGGUACGAGUGAACCUUUUUUUUUUGUUAA